CAAUAGCGUAUAUUAAAGUUGUUGCAGUUAAAAAGCUCGUAGUUGGAUUUCUGGUUGAAGCGACCGGUCGGGCGUUGAUUCGUCUGCACUGGAGUCGGUUUUGGCCAUCCUCUAGGAAAGUGCGUCUGGUAUUAAGUUAUCGGGCGUAUGAUCCUGGUCUUUUACUGUGAAAAGAUUAGAGUGUUUAAAGCAGGCCUUCGCCUUGAAUACAUUAGCAUGGAAUAAUAAGAUAGGACUUUGGUCUAUUUUGUUGGUUUGCAGACCGAAGUAAUGAUUAAUAGGGAUAGUUGGGGGUAUUUAUAUUCCGAUGUCAGAGGUGAAAUUCUUAGAUUUUCGGAAGAUAAACUUAUGCGAAAGCAUUUACCAAGGAUGUUUUCAUUAA
rnacentral:rRNA from 1 species